AUACUUACCUGGCAGGGGCGAUACCAUGACCACGAAGGUGGUUCACCCAGGGCGAGGCUCUGCCAUUGCACUUGGGUGGUGCUGACCCUUGCGAAUUCCCAUCCCAUACCCAUUCUCGAUCCCCAGUGCCGACAGUCCGUGACUGAGGUGUCCUUGAGCAAGACACCUA
ensembl:snRNA U1 U1 spliceosomal RNA